AGACGGAGGUGACCACUGGCGCUGAUGAUAUUAAAAGCGAGCCGCAUGCUUUUGAUCAGAAUAUUAGUGAACAAGUUGCUUCUUAUAUAAAAGACCCAAGCAGAAUGGUUGGGCAGAUGCAGAUGUGGAAAUUAGCAGUUGCUGUAUUUGGCACUGUUCCUGUGGGGGAGAACACUGCGAAGGGAAAGGUACUGAUUGCAUAUAAUUGGGGUUAACUAUAAUUCUAUACUAAUCUGAGGACCCAUUUAUACAUUCAUUGGAAUUAAAUGUCCCA